rnacentral:snRNA from 1 species
GCGCCCACUUCCAUAGCACUUGGACUAAAUUGAGAGCGAUACGGAGAAGGGCAUGGCCCCUGUGCAAGGAAGACGCACAAGUUCAUGAAGUGUUCCAUGUUUUU